rnacentral:rRNA from 1 species
AGGGAAUCUUCGGCAAUGGACGGAAGUCUGACCGAGCAACGCCGCGUGAGUGAAGAAGGUUUUCGGAUCGUAAAGCUCUGUUGUAAGAGAAGAACGAGUGUGAGAGUGGAAAGUUCACACUGUGACGGUAUCUUACCAGAAAGGGACGGCUAACUACGUGCCAGCAGCCGCGGUAAUACGUAGGUCCCGAGCGUUGUCCGGAUUUAUUGGGCGUAAAGCGAGCGCAGGCGGUUAGAUAAGUCUGAAGUUAAAGGCUGUGGCUUAACCAUAGUACGCUUUGGAAACUGUUUAACUUGAGUGCAAGAGGGGAGAGUGGAAUUCCAUGUGUAGCGGUGAAAUGCGUAGAUAUAUGGAGGAACACCGGUGGCGAAAGCGGCUCUCUGGCUUGUAACUGACGCUGAGGCUCGAAAGCGUGGGGAGCAAACAGGAUUAGAUACCCUGGUAGUCCACGCCGUAAACGAUGAGUGCUAGGUGUUAGACCCUUUCCGGGGUUUAGUGCCGCAGC